rnacentral:piRNA from 1 species
UGAAAAACUGGCCUUCUCAAGC